rnacentral:rRNA from 1 species
UACGUAGGGUCCGAGCGUUGUCCGGAAUUAUUGGGCGUAAAGAGCUCGUAGGCGGUCUGUCGCGUCGGCUGUGAAAACACGGGGCUCAACUCCGUGCCUGCAGUCGAUACGGGCAGACUAGAGUUCGGUAGGGGAGACUGGAAUUCCUGGUGUAGCGGUGAAAUGCGCAGAUAUCAGGAGGAACACCAGUGGCGAAGGCGGUGCUCUGGGCCGGAACUGACGCUGAUGAGCGAAAGCGUGGGGAGCAAACAGG